rnacentral:rRNA from 1 species
UACGAAGGACCCGAGCGUUAUCCGGAUUUAUUGGGUUUAAAGGGUGCGUAGGCGGAACAGUAAGUCAGUGGUGAAAGCCUGUGGCUUAACAACAGAACUGCCAUCGAUACUGCUGUUCUUGAGUACAUAUGAUGUGGGCGGAAUGUGCCGUGUAGCGGUGAAAUGCUUAGAUAUGGCACAGAACACCGAUUGCGAAGGCAGCUCACAAAAUUGUAACUGACGCUGAGGCACGAAAGCGUGGGGAUCAAACAGG